rfam:Triticum urartu cultivar G1812 contig912706, whole genome shotgun sequence.
AUUGUACUCCCUCCGUUCGGAAUUACUUGUCGCGGAAAUGGAUGUAUCUAGACGUAUUUUAGUUCUAGAUACAUUCAUAUCCGAGGCAAAUAAUUUCGAACGGAGGGGGUACCAU